rnacentral:rRNA from 1 species
UACGGGGGGGGCAAGCGUUGUUCGGAAUUACUGGGCGUAAAGGGCUCGUAGGCGGCCAACUAAGUCCGACGUGAAAUCCCCAGGCUUAACCUGGGAACUGCGUCGGAUACUGGUUGGCUUGAAUCCGGGAGGGGGAUGCGGAAUUCCAGGUGUAGCGGUGAAAUGCGUAGAUAUCUGGAGGAACACCGGUGGCGAAGGCGGCAUCCUGGACCGGCAUUGACGCUGAACAGCGAAAGCCAGGGGAGCAAACGGG